GAUGAACGCUAGCUACAGGCUUAACACAUGCAAGUCGAGGGGAAGCAGGGUAGCAAUACCGCUGACGACCGGCGCACGGGUGAGUAACACGUAUCCAACCUUCCCAUAACUCGGGGAUAGCCUUUCGAAAGAAAGAUUAAUACCGGAUGGUACUUUUUCAAGGCAUCUUGAGAAAGUUAAAGAUUUAUUGGUUAUGGAUGGGGAUGCGUUCCAUUAGAUAGUUGGUGAGGUAACGGCUCACCAAGUCUUCGAUGGAUAGGGGUUCCGAGAGGAAGGUCCCCCACAUUGGUACUGAGACACGGACCAAACUCCUACGGGAGGCAGCAGUGAGGAAUAUUGGUCAAUGGGCGAGAGCCUGAACCAGCCAAGUAGCGUGAAGGAUGAAGGUCCUAUGGAUUGUAAACUUCUUUUAUAGUAGAAUAAAGUGAUCCACGUGUGGAUUUUUGUAUGUAUACGAUGAAUAAGGAUCGGCUAACUCCGUGCCAGCCGCCGCAGUAA
rnacentral:rRNA from 1 species